UCCUAUCGAUCUCUCUCUGUCCAACCAGCCCAAGCGGAGCCGUCUCCCCAUCCACGCCCACAGCGCCGCCGUCGACCAUCUCAACCCCCACCCACCCCAGCGCCGCGGCCGACCCUCCCCAUCCCCAACUCCGCGACCCUCCUCACCACCAACGCCGCGGCCUCCUCACCACCACGACGCCGCCGCCUACUCUUCACCUCCCCAACGGCGCCGCUGCCUCGCCCGUCAUCCUCCCUACCCGCUCUCAGACUCAAACCCUAGCCCACCUCGCCGUCGGUGGCUCUCCAGUGAUGGAGGCGGAGGAGGCGUCCCCUUCGCGGAAGAAUCCCCGCCGCCCCCGCCGCCGCGACCUCAACGCACUGGAUCCUAAUUUAGUGGAGUCUGAUGGAGAGGACAUCGGCAUUCCGGAAGUCGGCAUGGUGUUCAAUAACCACAUAGAGGUUAACCGAUUUUACCGUAGGUAUGCCCGUCGUGUUGGUUUUGGCGUCUCAGUUAGGAGGUCUUCGUUCUCACAAGAAGGUACCUGCUUAUAUCUCGAGCUGAUGUGCUGUAAAGGAGGGCGUCCACGUUACGAACCUAAGUUCAGGAAACGGGCCUCAUCAACUACAAACUGCCCAGCCAAGAUCCGUGUGAAGUUAUGGGGAGACAAAUUGUUGCAUGUAGAGUUUGCGAUCCUCGAUCAUAAUCAUCCUGUGAGCCCAUCAAUGGCAAGGUUCUUGAACACUUAUAAGCAGCUUUCUGGCCCUGCGAAGAGACGGUUGCGUAUGGGUGGCCCUGGAGCUAUGCCAGUUGAAGAGCCAAGCAAGAUGCCUUUUGAUAAGCUGGAUGCACUUGAGGAACUUUUGUUUGGAGAAAGCAAACACAAUAGUUUUGUUGAGAGGGGCCGCUUGAAGCUCCAACCUGGAGAUUCAGAAGCACUUCGACUUUUCUUUACCCGGAUGCAGGCCAAAAAUGCGAACUUUUUCAACGUUAUUGAUAUGGAUGAUGAAGGCUGUGUCAGGAAUGUUUUCUGGGCAGAUGCACGGACAAGAGCCAUGUAUGAGUAUUAUAAUGACGCAAUCACACUUGAUACUUCUUAUGUUGUUAGUAAAUAUGAUAUGCCUCUUGUGACUUUUCUUGGGGUGAACCAUCAUGGCCAAUCUAUUUUGUUGGGUUGCGGCCUUCUUUCUGAUGAAACAGUAGAAACCUAUACAUGGCUAUUUAAGGUGUGGGUAGCAUGCAUGUCUGGUAAUCUUCCAAAGGCUAUCAUCACUGACCAAUGCAGGGGCAUCCAGAGUGCAAUUUCUGAGGUUAUUCCUGGAGUUCGUCAUAGAAUAUGCUUGUUUCAGAUAAUGAGGAAGACAUCAGAAAUAUUGGGUGGAUUGUCGGAGUACAGAGCUAUUAGCAAGACAUUGCAGAAGGCUGCAUAUGAUUCUUUAACAGUAGAUGAGUUUGAAGGAGAGUGGAGUACUCUGGUCGCCUACAAUGGGCUUCAAGGUCAUGAAUGGUUAAGCUCACUUUAUGAAUGCCGGUUUUCAUGGGUCCCUAUCUUUCUUAAAGAUACUUUUUGGGCAGGAAUGUCUGGUACACAAAGAAAUGAAACUAUCACUCCUUUCUUUGAUGGUUAUGUUGAUUCGAAAACCACUUUGAAGCAAUUUCUUGUUAAGUACGAGAUGAUUUUGCAGAGCAAAUAUGAGAAAGAAGCCCAAGCAGAUUUUGAGACAUUUCAUAAGCAACGUCCACCUGUUUCAAAAUUCUAUAUGGAAGAACAGCUCUCGAAGGUCUACACCCAUAACAUAUUCAAGAAGUUCCAAGAUGAGAUUGAAGCUAUAAUGUACUGCCAUGUAUCUUUUGUGGGUAUUGAUGGGCCUAUCUCCACGUUCAAUGUCAAGGAAUGUAUUUUCCUUGAAGAUGGCAAAAGGACUAUGAGCAAGAUUUUUGCAGUGACUUAUACCACAGAGGAAGAGGAUAUAACUUGUAUAUGUGGAGGUUUCCAAUUCAGCGGUAUAUUAUGUAGGCAUAGUCUCUCAGUGCUCAAGUUUCAACAGGUUCAUGAAAUUCCUUCACAAUACGUUCUUGAUAGAUGGAAUAAGGAUUUCAGGCAGUUACAUGUGAUGGGACGACCUUCAAGUGAUGUUGUUCCCAACAAUCGUGCGGAUCGAUACGACUAUUUGUCAAUGAGAUGCCUCCAGCUUGUUGACUCUGCAGUCCUAUCAGAUAAAUAUCGCCUUGCUUUGAGGUUGGUGAGGGAGGUGGAGAAGUUUUUAUUAAAUAGCAAUACACACGAUGAUACACAGCCAAGAAUCAAAUCCCGCAUUCCUAAAGUAAAUAAACCUAAUACAGUGACUGGUCUAAAUCUGGUAAAUGUACCUACUGACAAUGGAAAUGGUGGGCCCAAUGUACCAGAGGCAUCAGUGUGUGCACCACAAGUCCUGAAGGGAGUAACAGAAAAUGGUGGACCUCCUACUGGUUACAUUGGGGUGCCAGCUAAUGUCCAGCAAUUCAUGGGUAAUCAAGCAGCAAUUCGCCCAAGCAUCGUUUAUAUGGUUCCGAGUGGUGUUGACCCUCAGGCAUUUGGAAAUGGUGUUUUGAUGCCAGUGAUGUACCAGCAGAUGUUCCAGAUACCCCAGCAGCCAAAUGGAGCCGUGCAGGAAACAGCGAAUGGGAAAAAGAAGCGGCCUCGUGUCCAGAAGCUGACGGAGACAUCUCAUCAGUCAAAUGGAACCCCAGGACCUGCAUCUGGCUAAAGGAGACUCUUCACGUUUAAUCAGAACUUCAGAACUCAGAACAGGUCAGGUGGCUAUGUGUCUGGACAAGAUUGCAAAUGCAUAUAGGAUGUUAGAUCAUGUAAGAAAACUUGGUCGCAGGCAUUGAUGCCGCGCUAGAACAAAACAACAAAGGUGAUUAAAAAUACUGAAUGGCACUUCAACUACAGUACAAGAUUUCGAAGCUACUUUGAGAAUAUCCAACUUUUCGUUGAGAUGUUGAAGUUAUCUUGUGCGUUGGAGCAUAUUAAAAGCUGAACACGCACCUUAACAACACGCCCAUUCAUUCGCCCAGAAAGAUACACGGUGAGAUCGGUAUAUAUGGCAUUGUUUGAAGGAAGUGUGGAGAUGGCUGGUUCGGACUUAAGCUGGGACUCACGCGCUCCAACCCGUUGCCAAUUCUUCUUGUGGCUAGCGUGUCGGAAAAGGUGCUGGACAGCGGACCGUCUUGAACGGCGGGGUUUGGAUCAUCCGGACAAUUGCCCUCUCUGUGAUCAAGAGCCGGAAACAAUUGAUCACCUGCUCAUUGGAUGCGUGGUCAUGAGGCAGGUUUGGUGGAAGAUCCUGUGUGCUUGGGGCGCGAUUCAGUGGCUGCCGGAUGAGAGAUCUUCCUUGACGGAGUGGUGGGAGAAUGUUCGUCUUCAAGGUAGAUCAAGGAAAAACCUUGCUACCACAUCGACUUUGGUCUUUUGGAUGAUUUGGAAACACCGAAAUGCGAUAGUGUUCGAUGGGGAGACUCCAGGCGUUGAUAAGAUCCUGAGAGCGAUUCAAGUGGAAGGGGCUGACUGGAAGAGUGCGGGGCUCUUCUUUGAUAUAUUUAGCUUCUUCCCGGGCCCGGAUAGCGUAGGUGUGGAGUGGACCGGUGUGGGUUAGUUCUUGUCGUUUAUUUGCUCGUUUAGGGAUGUACUAAACUGCUCUGCAGUCUUCUUUAUUGGAUGAUACACCCGCUUCGGUGUAUUCUAAA